GAAUCCGAGUGUUUAGUUUGGAUUAGUAGGUUAGGGUUCUUCAAUUGGAAACCCGGUUAAGUCACUCUCUCUUUCUCACUCGUAUUCUCCUGCGCGACACCAACAACUUGUCAUCUUCUCUAUAACAAUCAUUGUCUCUCACCUCCUCUCUCACCUUCUUCACCACUACAACUACCAUGGAGGAGAGAGAAAGCACGCAUAUGAUAAAGAAUUCGAGGAGAGAGAAAAUAGAUCUCGGAUUUCUUUCUCCUCCAUUGCUAACGAUGCUGGGUAUGGGUAGAGCUCUUGGUAGCGGAACCUCUUUUUUCGAUCACCAAGUUCUCUCUCGGCCUCAUUGGUAACCUCUCUUUUCGAUCUGUUCAUUUUCGAAUCUUCAAAUCUGUGGGUUAUUCUCUGGUUUAAAGAAGGUUAUUAGCGACAGUGGCAGUGGAAAAAUGCCACCGCCUGCGCCGUCGCCCGGUUCGCCACUGUCACUGUCAUCGAGGUUGUGUGCACCAGGUGUCAUUGAGUGAUUCAGGGUCUUCUUCAAGUGAAAGAGACUUUGCAGAAAGAUUUGUGGAGAGAACCAAAUAAGGGUGAACUAGCUGAGGCAACAAGUAUGAGUGUGGUUUAAGUGAAAAAAAACAUUUGGAGGUUGGUUGAGCUGCAAGAAACAAACUCAUCAAGCAUACAUUCCAUGACACUACCAAGCUUUACUCAUGUCUCACUUGGCCUUGAGUCAAUUCCUGAGCUGUAAUGGCGAAUGCGGGUUCUUCAUUGAUGGAAAUAGGAACCGCAACUGGUAAUUUUUUAUCUACUAAAUAGAAUGUUUAUAGUGCUAAUGUAAUGUCAGAAUCAGAGGCUGCACUUAUGUUUUUGGACAUGAUUGUGCUGGAACCUAAUUACUUGAGAGGUUGGAAUUUCCCCUGAGAGGUAUCAUGAAGUAAUGAGGGUCUCAAAACCUGUCCUCUCUCUUCAUUCAAGGCAUAAAUCACAUUAGGAAUUUAUAAAUGCUAUUACUGAUGUUGACAACCGGCAGAAGCCUGCUUUUCUCAGGCUUGCUAUUCAUGAUGUGGUUGCAAAUUACAAGGGCCAAGGAAGGAUUGUAGAAGAAGGAUUACAAGUUACAAGGGCCAGGAUAGCUAGCUAAGAUAUGCUAAAGAAUUUGCUAACCAUCAAUGAGGACUUCACAAGAGGCAUGUUUUGGAACAAUAUACGCAUCAACUUUUGAGUUCCUAAGUAGAUAGGGCUUGUACAGUAGAAUGAUUUUCUUGUUUUAAUACUGGCUUGGAUAAUUGGGAAAUGCUCCCCUUUAACAUUUGAGGUUUAUAGUA